rnacentral:sRNA from 1 species
UGAAGGGUCUGGAGCUGGAGCUGCCGGCUUGGGGACAGUCACAUCAUCGGUGACAGGCGAGCCCAUAGAGACUUCACCCGUGAUUCACCUGGUGACAGAUGCCAAGGGCACCGUCAUCCACGAAGUCCACGUCCAGAUGCAGGAGCUGCCCCUGGGCAUGAAAGCCCUGGCCCCGGAGGUGGGGGCGACGGGGGGCCCCGGAGGGCUGCUCUGUCUUCUGCCUGCUCAGUGCCAGUCUUUGUUCUGGGCACUGGCUCCAGGGGUCUGGGCCAGGCAGGCGAGGGCUGGGCUUCCCACAGGGAGAGCAGGGCCAGUGGGAGCGCCAUGGGGGUCUGAGGGUUUGCACAAGGCUCCUGGCAUGCGUCUGCCCCAUGGGGUGGGUGCUGGAUGCCAGGCUGCCUGGCCAGCCUCCUCUCUCUGCCUCCUCUGCAGCCCCCCGUCUCCCAGGAGCUCCCCUGCUCCAGCGAGGGCAGCCGUGAGAACCUGCUGCACCAAGCCAUGCAGAACUCCGGCAUCGUCCUUGAGCGCGGUGCUGGGGAGGAGGGUUCCCUGGAGCCAGCCCCUGCUGCCGGGUCCAGUCCCCAGCCCCUGGCAGAGGCAGCCCCGCAGCUGCCGGUACUGGAAGUGCAGCCGCUGGAGACACAGGUGGCCAGCGAGGCCUCAGCGGUGCCCAGGACCCACCCAUGUCCUCAGUGCAGUGAGACCUUCCCGACAGCAGCCACCCUGGAGGCCCACAAGAGGGGCCACACCGGGCCGAGGCCGUUCGCCUGCGCGCAGUGUGGCAAGGCCUUCC